GGUAAUACGCUGGAUUCGUUAUCGUAUACUGAGGCGUCGGUAUCAACGAGGGUACGCUAUUGCGGCACCGCCCCAGUCGUAAAUCUGCCGUAGUAAUCAGCCACUCCCCGCCGCGGUCAGGCCAGCCGCUUCCUGAGUAAAGCCCCGCUCCCAUGGUGUGACGAGCCCGGUGUGUGGGGCCGAGGCACGUAUUCGCCGCGACGUCGCUGAUCCAUGAUGGCGGUCCCGACUUGCAUGAUCGAGUGUAAUUACUGAUCAGGCCGCAAUCAAUUUCUGCAGGAUUGGCUCCCCUCGCGAGUUGGCGACCCUCUGUCCGACGCGUGUAUGGCGUGUGAAAGCCCUACCCAUAAAGCCAUGAGGCUGUACGUCAUCCCCGCCUUCACUCCAAUUUGUCGCCAGCAGUCUCGUCAAAGACGCACUUUCGUGGCAACUAAUGACGAGGUUGCGCUCGUUGCGGGGCUUAACCCAACAUCUCGCGGCACUGAAGCUGACAGCAAUAUGCAACCGCCUAUGUUGAUUAUACUGGCAAGCCUUUCCCAAAUCUCUCUUCGAGGCCCAGGCAAUGUCGAGAGUAAAUGAGAUUUUUCGCGUGCAUCGAAAUUAAUCGCAUCAUCCGCCGCUGUGCGUCCCGUCAAUUCGCUGAGUUUUAAUCUUAUGACCGUACUUUCCCAGGCGGUCAACCGCGCGAUGGCCUUGCGCCCGCAAGGCCAAAGCCCCAGCCAAUGGUCGGCAUCGUUAGGCGUGGGCUACCGGGAGUAUCUAAUCCUGUUUGCUCCCCGCGCUUUCGUGCAUGAGCGUCCGGUGUUAUCCCGGGGGGCUGCUUCGCCGUCGGUGUUCCUCCGCGUAUCUGCGCAUUCAUAUGCUGCAUGAAAUUCCGCCUCCCCUCUGACGCACUCUAGCUCGGCAAUUAAAGAAAUGCCGAUUCGAAAUUAAACUCUAGAAUUCGCAUCUUUCUUUGACCGCCUGCUAUACGCUUGCGUGAUAAUUCCGAUCAGCAGCUGCCUUCGGUAAUGCCGCCCGGCCUAGCAGCGCGUGAAUAUUGAUAGCAAUCUAUAAGGAGUAUGAUCUGAUUAACGCGAGUAUUAUCGUGCCGUUUCUCACCUUGAAAGUCUUUACCAGCCCGAAAGCCUUCAUCGCGCAUGAAGAUGGCACAGAUCGGGGUUUCCCCGUUGUCCCGAAAUUCCCCGCUGCCGCCUCAGAAGGAGUCUGGAGGCCGUGUCACCAGUCCCAGUGUGGUAGUCGUCCUCUGAAGCCAGCUGCAGUCGUCGCCUUGGUAGGCCGUUGCCCACGCCGGCUAAUCCGAUAUCGGCCGCUCUAUUGGUGCGAGGCAAAGUCCGCUUUCCCCGAGGGCGUAUGCGUAUUGGCUGCGCUUUCGCGUAGUUAUCCCCGCGCUGCUAGGCGCGUUCCGUGCAUUACUCGCCCGUUCGCCACUCGCCCAUGAGCCGAAGUCCGUGCUGCCGUUCGACUUGCAUGUGUAAAACAUCCCGCCGGCGUUCAAUCACGAGCCAUAAUCGACC
rnacentral:rRNA from 1 species